CUGGCUCAGGACGAACGCUGGCGGCGUGCCUAACACAUGCAAGUCGAACGGAGUAAUGACUUCGGUAUUACUUAGUGGCGAACGGGUGAGUAACACGUGAAUAAUCUGCCCUGUACGAUGGGAUAACAGCUGGAAACGGCUGCUAAUACCGUAUAUGACCACGCCGAGGCAUCUCGGAGGGGUGAAAGCGCUUAAGCGGUACAGGAUGAGUUCGCGUCCAAUUAGCUAGUUGGUGAGGUAACGGCCCACCAAGGCGACGAUUGGUAGCCGACCUGAGAGGGUGAUCGGCCACACUGGAACUGAGACACGGUCCAGACUCCUACGGGAGGCAGCAGUGGGGAAUAUUGGGCAAUGGAGGAAACUUACCUUACCCAGCAAUGCCGCGUGAGUGAUGAAGGUCUUCGGAUUGUAAAGCUCUUUGAUUGGGGACGAAUAAAUGACGGUACCCAAGGAACAAGCCCCGGCUAACUAUGUGCCAGCCGCGGC
rnacentral:rRNA from 1 species